UAGAGUUUGAUCCUGGCUCAAAGUGAACGCUGGCGGCGUGCUUAACACAUGCAAGUCGAGCGAAUUUCAACAGGGUAUCGAAGAAAUUAGCGGCAGACGGGUGAGUAAUACUUAGGCAAUCUACCCUCGAAUGGGAAACAACCUGGCGAAAGCCGGGCUAAUGUCCCGUAAGACCACGGAAUCGCAUGAUUUUGAGGUCAUAGCUCCGCAAGGGGCGUUUGUGGAGGAGCCUAAGGCCUAUCAUGGUAGUUGGUGAGGUAACGGCUCACCAAGCCUACGACGGGUAGCCGGCCUGAAAGGGUGAUCGGCCACACUGGCACUGAGACACGGGCCAGACUCCUUCGGGAGGCAGCAGUGGGGAAUUUUGGACAAUGGGGGCAACCCUGAUCCAGCAACGCCGCGUGGAGGACGAAGGUCUUCGGAUUGUAAACUCCUUUUGGAGGGGAUGAAUGCCUACGUGAAGAGCGUAGGGUGACAGUACUCUCUGAAUAAGCCACGGCUAACUUCGUGCCAGCAGCCGCGGUAAUACGAAGGUGGCAAGCGUUACUCGGAAUUACUAGGCGUAAAGCGCAGGUAGGCGGUUCGGUAAGUCUUUUGUGAAAGCUCCCGGCUCAACUGGGAGAGGCCAAGGGAUACUGCCGGACUUGAGUGUGGUAGAGGAAACUGGAAUUCCCGGUGUAGCGGUGAAAUGCGUAGAUAUCGGGAGGAAUACCUAAGGCGAAAGCAGGUUUCUGGGCCAUCACUGACGCUGAGCUGCGAAAGCUAGGGGAGCAAACAGGAUUAGAUACCCUGGUAGUCCU
rnacentral:rRNA from 1 species